AACAUAGAUGGCACAUCAUAGCAGCACAAAACCCGAAACAAGCAAACAGCGAGGCAGAACUCAGAUUAUUUCCCACGCACCACCUGCACUAGGAGAACCACUUCAAGCUUAUGGCUUCAUCAGAGCCGCAACCUUCUGAACAGAUGGCCUCUCCAUCAGGCUAGACCACCAGGCCUUCACAUGAGGGUAACCAUCAAGCACCGACGCGUGGGGUGUCGCAAACAAGCACAGGGUGGCAGAGACAUGGUUAAGGUCAGCAAGGCUGAGGAAGUCUCCAGCCAGGUACUUGUACUUGGUCAGGCGCGCCUCGUACACCUCCAG
rnacentral:lncRNA from 1 species